CCUACGGGUGGCAGCAGUGAGGAAUAUUGGUCAAUGGGCGCGAGCCUGAACCAGCCAAGUAGCGUGAAGGAUGACUGCCCUACGGGGUGUAAACUUCUUUUAUAAAGGAAUAAAGUGAGGCACGUGUGCCUUUUUGUAUGGACGUUAUGAAUAAGGAUGGGCUAACUCCGUGCCAGCAGCCGCGGUAAUACGGAGGAUCCGAGCGUUAUCCGGCUUUCUUGGGUUUAAAGGGAGCGUAGAUGGGUUGUUAAGUCAGUGGGGCAAGUUUGCGGCUCCACCGUUAAAUUGCAAUUGCUACUGGCAGUCUUUAGUACAGUUGCGGUAGGCGGAAUUCGUUGUGUAGCGGU
rnacentral:rRNA from 1 species